GGAGAGAUGCGUGAGUGGUUUAAAUGAACGGUCUUGAAAACCGUCGGAUGUAAAAGUCCCGUGGGUUCGAAUCCCACUCUCUCCGCCA
rnacentral:tRNA from 1 species